UAUCGGAUUUUGAAUCGUUUUGAUUCUUUUGCUCCUAGCUGAAUUAAAAGAGAAUUUCAGCAGUAGAAAAAGGUGAUUUGGCUGUGAUUUAUAUGCCUUUCGUUCAGGGAAAAGUUCCUUUAAAGCUUGAUAAAGAUAACUAGUGAGUUAUGACUCUAUUUCGGGAUUAUAUGAAGUCGAAUUGGGUAAAUUGAUACUGUUUGGAAUGAUGUCUUCGCAGCAGGUUUCCGAAGUAAAUUGAGUUUAUUUGGUGAUCUUGGGGACUGGUUUUGAGGGUGUUCUAACCUGAGCGAGAGCGCAACCGACCUUUGGAUCAUCUUUGGUUGACAUCAAAGAGCCUUUAGAGGCUAAACUUGAGGACACAUUUAAGUCGGUUUUAAGAUGAACAUUGGGAGCCUUUACUGGAAGUGAAGUGUCAAUCUGAGAAGCUGGAAUACCCGGAUCGCUUAGCUACAUGAACUCGACAA